ensembl:lncRNA
GUCUAUUAACCCAGCACUCUGGGAGUCUGAAGUAGGAGGAUCACAAGUUCAACCCCAGCCUGGACAACUUGCAGAGACCAUGCUUAAAAAAAAUAAAAAGAAAGCUUGGGAAUGUAGCUCUGUGCAAAAGCCUACUUUCAUUCCCUAGCACCACUAAAAACAAGCAAGCAAGCAAGCCAACAAAUGCCUAUCAUACUAGACCAAGAGCUAACUUCUUUUAAGUAGUGACUACUUGUGUGACAGCCAUGCAGAAAGGGCUAGGUGUGAACCAAGCGCCAGUAGUUUUCCCUGAGUGUGAACACCUAGUCCUCACAGUUCUUGAACGAAGCCAGCAGACUGCUACUUUCCUCUCACUGCCAACAAUAGACUUCAAUUUCAACCAGGAAGCCAGUUACAUACCAGUCUCCACAGGGCUCCUAGCUGCCCACCAAGUCUGACUGACAUGAUUUGACAGCUUCUCUAAAGCUGCCAUGAGUCGAAAUAUAAUGAAUCCAUCUUGGAGUUCACUGGCCAGGGAGCCAUGGACCUCAGCACAGCUGAGUGGAGGCUGCGGUAGGCAGCGGGCAGAUGUGGCCUCAGGGGUUGAACUGCAGAGCCCCGCACAACUGGUGGACACAUGUGUGCAGCUGGGAUCGCUGGUGUCUUCUGAUCCUUGCAGCAGUUUAACUAGUGAAAGGACUAAUAUAGCUCUUUGGAAGAAUGAGAGGCUUAAGGAGUUAGAAGAAUUCAGGAAUGAACAUGGGUUGUAGUGCUAAGCCUGAGUAAUAAAUUCAAUAUUUUCAACACAGUAUCUGGAGUGAAGAGUGACAAUUUUCUGGGACCAAAGAGGAUGAGAUGAGAUUCUAGAAAUUCUACAAAAGAGGCUGAGGGAUGCAUUUUAUAAUGACUUUGUGGAGAAGAUCAUAGACAUCAAAACUGGAAAAAUGUUGUUCAAUCAAGAUUUCACCCUAAGAAGUAAAGGAACAGCAGACUGCGAGGUGCUGUCACUGUCAAAGGGCACAGAGAGAGACUUUCAGAAAAAUACACUAAUACCCACCGGCGUUUUUCACGGUAAUCGCACUUGCAGUCUCCCACUCAGCUAUGUCUUCCGAGUGGAGGAACUAAGUGUGCCUGCUCGCUUGUGCACCCUCAGCACCCAACUUGAUUCCUAGUGCACGGCAGCGCUGCACCCAAAUUCUUGAAAACCUGCAAAUACAGCUCCUGCAAUGAAUGAAUGAUCCUCCGAGAUUCCACUUGCUAUGAAGAAUUAAAAUUAGCAGAGGGACUGGGAAAUGGGGAAGGGCAGAGACUUGCUCGGCACGGAGAUGUGGCUUAACGGCCUUCAGCCUCUUCUGUGUCUUUCUUACCUGGGCCUCUCUUCAUCGUGGUGACUGUCAAGGUUACAGACACAGGAACAAAAUGGUGGAGUGUUGUGCUGGUAACCUGGCUCUCAGAAGAAUAACUUUCGCCAAUUUCCGUGUUGAAAAUACUUCCACUGAGGAUGAUGGCGAGACCCAAAAUGGUGUCACUGAGCGUGGAGUUGAGAAGGAUGCUCAUGGGCAGCUCUUCCCAGUGGAGCCAGCGCAUUGCCUGGACAUGACUUUGAAGAUCUGUGUUCCUGGCAUCCCUGCCUGCCAUGUGCAGACAGAGAUCUGCAGUCCAGUACCAGUGGGCCAAGAUUCACGCUGCCACCAAGAAGUGAGCAGCUUUGUUCCACCAUCUCUUUCUGCCAUGACGUUUCUGGCUUGGAACUUGCCAACCAUAGACUGAAUCCCCAAAACUAUGAGCCUAAAAAAACUUCUCCUCCUUUCAAUUAUGGGUGGCAAGUGCUUUGUCCCAGCAACGAGACAAUACACAACUGGUCUGCUGACACUCAUCCAGUUCAUAUUAUGAGCUGAUGAGUGAUAAUUAGAAGACUUUUGAAUCCCUUUCCUGCUAAAGUAGAUUCUUGGGGGAAAGCAAUGGCCAACCUGGUUGGUGAAAUAUUGGAAAAACAGUCAUCAGCUACUGUGCUGGUCAAAGUCUCUUGGUAUGAAGACAAUGAUAUUGACUCUCUCUACAGCAUAGGGGUGGAAGUAAAAAAAGAGAAAAUACCAACAGCCAGUUUGCAAAUGAUAUUUAGAAAGCAUCUCCAGGGCCGCAAACGUUUACACCCUUACUCGAGCUCCUCUGUGAUGUUUAGCAACUUCUCCUGGCAUGUGCUUUGGGACCAUAAUUUAUUUGUUCCCUACCUUUCGUCACCUGCUGCUGACCAGGUCUUUGGACUCUUUAGCCCAUUCUGGAGUCUGUUUGAAUUUCCCAGACAGAUGCAUCCCAAAGAAGCUAAUGGAACAAGGAGUUUGUGUUGGGUUCAUUACAUAGGACACGACUUCUUGGAGAAGCCUCGGAUGAUGUCUGACAGAUGAGGGUGCCUGCCAC